rnacentral:rRNA from 1 species
UACGAAGGGGGCUAGCGUUGUUCGGAAUUACUGGGCGUAAAGCGCACGUAGGCGGAUACUUAAGUCAGGGGUGAAAUCCCGGGGCUCAACCCCCGGAACUGCCUUUGAUACUGGGUAUCUCGAGUCCGGAAGAGGUGAGUGGAAUUCCGAGUGUAGAGGUGAAAAUUCGUAGAUAUUCGGAGGAACACCAGUGGCGAAGGCGGCUCACUGGUCCGGUACUGACGCUGAGGUGCGAAAAGCGUGGGGGAGCAAACAGG